rnacentral:rRNA from 1 species
AUGGAUCCAUGGAUGCAGGCGUAUCUCGAGCGGAUCGACACCAUGCUCGAUGCCUACACAGACGCCACCAGGUCCCUCACCGAGAAAGUGGACGCUCUGGUCGUCGUCUGGCGGCCAGACCUGGAGAAGAGGUCCUCCCACACCGCCGUCGUCCACGGUCCACCGGCGCCGACCUCGGCGCUCGAGACCACUACUGAGGCGUCUGAACCCGUCCCUAACAUCUACUACUCCACCACCAAGGCCCAGGAGAUCCCCACGGUCGCCCAUGAUGCAACUCCGAUAUGCAUUCCGAUGGUGCCUGUCACCUGUUCGACGGAUUGCCCGACCCAGAUCGACGCCAUCGACAGCGCCGACGAAGUCCAUGACGCCGCCAGCGUCGCAACAGAGGUUCGCAACACUACAACCGCACUCGGCCCCGAGCUCGCGGUCGACCUCUGCAACACCUGUGGUCACUAUGGCAAGUUCGACGGCCUCAACAUCCCCGUGAAGGCCAGCAUCAGCCCGCCGCCCCACGUCCAGGAUGCAUUCCCAAAUUCCACAAUCAGCAAUUGUCGUGCCGAUGUUGCCGGGACGGACGAGUACGCACUCGUGGAGGCCACUCCAGACGUCGCCAUUGAGCUUGCCAUCCUCCCAGGCGUCUCCUCCUUCAUGAACAAACUAUUCUGGAAGCAUGACAUGGACGUCUCGCCGCCCACAAGGCACAAAGGGCUGCCAAUACGGCCGACACCAUGGCCGUCAUUUUUGGUGCAUCAUAGUGCAAAGGGGAACGAGAUUCGACCCACUCCGUGGCUAUCGUUUUCUUGCUCUCAUGAAGAUUGGAUCUUUCAGUACUACAGAGGAACAAUGCAAGCACAAAACAUUCGAGCAAGAAUAUCUGAAAGUGCGUCAUCUACCGUCCUUGGUUCAAAAGGUCUAGACAAAAGGCUCCAACAUCAUGCCAUACUACUAAAGCUUGCUCCUGAUCCAUGA